CGCGUGGGAAUCUACCUAGUAGUGGGGGACAACAGUCGGAAACGACUGCUAAUACCGCAUACGUCCUAUGGGAGAAAGCAGGGGAUCUUCGGACCUUGUGCUAUUAGAUGAGCCCGCGUCAGAUUAGCUAGUUGGUGGGGUAAAGGCCUACCAAGGCGACGAUCUGUAGCUGGUCUGAGAGGAUGAUCAGCCACACUGGAACUGAGACACGGUCCAGACUCCUACGGGAGGCAGCAGUGGGGAAUAUUGCACAAUGGGCGCAAGCCUGAUGCAGCCAUGCCGCGUGUGUGAAGAAGGCCC
rnacentral:rRNA from 1 species